rnacentral:rRNA from 1 species
UACGUAAGGGCAAGCGUUAUUCGGAAUCACUGGGCGUAAAGCGUGCGUAGGCUGCUUGGAAAGUUGGAAGUGAAAGCCCAGGGCUCAACCCUGGAAUUGCUUUCUAAAACUAACCAGGCUCGGAUUCGGGAGAGGAUAGCGGAAUUGUCAGUGUAGCAGUGAAAUGCGUAGAUAUUGACAGGAACACCAGUGGCGCAAGCGGCUAUCUGGACCGACAUCGACGCUGAGGCACG